rnacentral:rRNA from 1 species
CUGGUUGAUCCUGCCAGUAGUCAUAUGCUUGUCUCAAAGAUUAAGCCAUGCAUGUCUAAGUAUAAGCAAUUAUACCGUGAAACUGCGAAUGGCUCAUUAAAUCAGUUAUCGUUUAUUUGAUAGUACCUUACUACUUGGAUAACCGUGGUAAUUCUAGAGCUAAUACAUGCUUAGAACCCCAACUUCGGAAGGGGUGUAUUUAUUAGAUAAAAAACCAAUGCCCUUCGGGGCUCUUUGGUGAUUCAUAAUAACUUAACGGAUCGCAUGGCCUUGCGCCGGCGACGGUUCAUUCAAAUUUCUGCCCUAUCAACUUUCGAUGGUAAGGUAUUGGCUUACCAUGGUUUCAACGGGUAACGGGGAAUUAGGGUUCGAUUCCGGAGAGGGAGCCUGAGAAACGGCUACCACAUCCAAGGAAGGCAGCAGGCGCGCAAAUUACCCAAUCCCGACACGGGGAGGUAGUGACAAUAAAUACUGAUACAGGGCUCUUUUGGGUCUUGUAAUCGGAAUGAGUACAAUUUAAACCCCUUAACGAGGAACAAUUGGAGGGCAAGUCUGGUA